rnacentral:tmRNA from 1 species
GGGGGCGAAUUUGGUUUCGACGGGGAUAUAGAAGCAGAAGUAGCGAGUCGUUGUCGCCAAGCAACGUUAAAAGUGGCACCUAAAAAUAAACGCAAACGAUAAUUACGCAUUAGCUGCUUAAUUAAAGCAGCUCGUCCUACCUAAAGUGCCCACGCUUUAGGAUAGGGCGUCAAUAUAGUGGGGUACCGAGCCUGGCAAAGCUUUGAGCCAGGAACGGAAUCUAUGAAGCUACCAAGGCUUAAAUCCUGUCAGUAGGAGUUAAGCCGAGGGAAUGUUAAAAUACUGACUGCACUCGGAGAAGCUUCUGUGGAAAUAUUUUCGGACGUGGGUUCGACUCCCACCGCCUCCACCA